CUCCUUUCAGGGUUGCCCCUGGAGAGUUUCCAGUACUCUACCAGCCUCGACUAUAGGAGGGAUAGUCAAGCAGAGGCCUAUCCAUUCCAUUCCUAGCCUGGGCAGAGGCUAGUGAGUGGAAGGCAAUCUGCUACAAGU